rnacentral:rRNA from 1 species
AACAGUCUGGCUGCUGGCGUGGACACACCGGAUCCCAUCCGAACUCCGAAGUUAAGCAUGCUUGGGCCCGUGUAAAAGUGUGGUGGGUACUCCCUCUUUUUCACAUU